rnacentral:rRNA from 1 species
GACGAACCGUCCUAACGUUGUUCGGAAUCACUGGGCUUAAAGGGUGCGUAGGCGGUUCCAUAAGUCAGUGGUGAAAUACGGCAGCUCAACUGUCGAGGUGCCAUUGAUACUGCGGAACUUGAGUACUGAUGAGGUAGGCGGAAUUGACGGUGUAGCGGUGAAAUGCUUAGAUAUCGUCAAGAACACCGAUAGCGAAGGCAGCUUACCAAGCAGUAACUGACGCUGAGGCACGAAAGUGCGGGGAUCAAACAGG